rnacentral:rRNA from 1 species
UACCAGCACCCCGAGUGGUCGGGACGUUUAUUGGGCCUAAAGCAUCCGUAGCCGGUUCUGCAAGUCUUCCGUUAAAUCCACCUGCUUAACAGAUGGGCCGCGGAAGAUACUAUAGAGCUAGGAGGCGGGAGAGGCAAGCGGUACUCAGUGGGUAGGGGUAAAAUCCGUUGAUUCAUUGAAGACCACCAGUGGCGAAGGCGGCUUGCCAGAAUGCGCUCGACGGUGAGGGAUGAAAGCUGGGGGAGCAAACCGG